UAACCUGCCUUGGAGUGGGGAAUAACACAGUGAAAACUGUGCUAAUACCGCAUAAUGCAUUUGGGUCGCAUGAUUCUGAAUGCCAAAGAUUUAUCGCUCUGAGAUGGACUCGCGUCUGAUUAGCUGGUUGGCGGGGUAACGGCCCACCAAGGCGACGAUCAGUAGCCGGACUGAGAGGUUGGCCGGCCACAUUGGGACUGAGACACGGCCCAG
rnacentral:rRNA from 1 species